GGGCGAUUAGCUCAGUUGGAUAGAGCACUGGUCUCCGGAACCAAAGGUCGCGCGUUCGAAUCGCGCAUCGCCCACGA
rnacentral:tRNA from 1 species